AUUGAACGCUGGCGGCAGGCCUAACACAUGCAAGUCGAGCGCGCGGCGGACGGGUGAGCAAUGUAUGGGGACUGCCCGAUAGAGGGGGAUAUCCACUGGAAACUGUGGCUAACACCGCAUUCUCUCGUAUCACCUAUAUGGGAUUAGCUUGUAGGUGGGGUAUAGGCUCCCCUAGGCGACGAUCUCUAGUUGGUCUGAGAGGAUGAUCAGCCACACUGGGACUGAGACCCGGCCCAGACUCCUACGGAGGCAGCAGUGGGGAAUAUUGCACAAUGGGCGCAAGCCUGAUGCAGCCAGGCCGCGUGUAUGAAGAAGGCCUUAGGGUUGUAAAGUACUUUCAGCGGGGAGGCGUUACCCGCAGAAGAAGCACCGGCUAACUCCGUGCCAGCCGCCGCGGUAAUUC
rnacentral:rRNA from 1 species